rnacentral:rRNA from 1 species
GGACCUUCGGGCCUCUUGCCAUCAGAUGUGCCCAGAUGGGAUUAGCUAGUAGGUGGGGUAACGGCUCACCUAGGCGACGAUCCCUAGCUGGUCUGAGAGGAUGACCAGCCACACUGGAACUGAGACACGGUCCAGACUCCUACGGGAGGCAGCAGUGGGGAAUAUUGCACAAUGGGCGCAAGCCUGAUGCAGCCAUGCCGCGUGUAUGAAGAAGGCCUUCGGGUUGUAAAGUACUUUCAGCGGGGAGGAAGGCGAUAAGGUUAAUAACCUUGUCGAUUGACGUUACCCGCAGAAGAAGCACCGGCUAACUCCGUGCCAGCAGCCGCGGUAAUACGGAGGGUGCAAGCGUUAAUCGGAAUUACUGGGCGUAAAGCGCACGCAGGCGGUCUGUCAAGUCGGAUGUGAAAUCCCCGGGCUCAACCUGGGAACUGCAUUCGAAACUGGCAGGCUGGAGUCUUGUAGAGGGGGGUAGAAUUCCAGGU